rnacentral:lncRNA from 1 species
AGCAAACAACCGGGCAAAGAGAAAAGGCAAGAGAGAGAGAGAAAGAGAGACCGAAAAUGCCUUGGUUAGGAGAUUCAAAUGUAGUUUUUUUCGUAUCACAUCAUAUUCAUUCCAUCUUUUGACUCUCUCUCUAUCUCAGGGAUGACAACGGGGGUUGGGACGAGUUCGGCCUCCUCACCCCUGCCUCAUUUAAUAACCGGUUGGACCUCCCUCCCCCACUCCCGCCCCCGCUCCGUUAAUAAUUUUUUUAAUUAUAUAUAAUAUAGACGAGGAGAGAGAUUAAAAAAAGUAAGUAUAUUAUGGAUUUUUUAAACUUAAAAAAAUAUGGAUAAUUUUGAUUUUUGAUAUUAAUCGUGUAAUCGGGGUCGGGUUCGGUGUGGAGGAGGCUAUUAUAUAUUUUUUUAUAUAAUUAUUGGUAUAUAUAUCAUAUAUAUAUAUAUAUAUACUAUAUAGAGAUUAAGGAUAUUAUGGUAUAUUUCAUUUUUAAAAAAAUAUGGAUAAUUUUAAUUUUUAUAUGUAUCGGGUAAUCGGGGCGGGUUCGGGGUUCAGGAGGCUAAAUUACCCCGCCCCGAUUAUUAAUCGAGUUAUUUUUUCCCAAACCGGCCCCUAACUAGGGCGGGACCCCGACGGGUAUCGGAUUUUCCAGGGUCAAUUGCCAUCCCUAUCUAUCUCCACUCUUCUCACUCUUAAUUUUUUUACGUCAAAUAAAUACGAAUUUCCUUUAGAAAAUUAAUUUAAAUCAAACAUCAAUAAAAUAAAUAAAUGUGAACACAAAUAUUAAGAAAGAGAAACUGAAAUUAAAAAAGACGACCAUGAAAAUUCUUGAGUCAAAUUUCACAUGUAUAUCUAUAUAACCCAAAAAGUUAUCCAAUCUAGAAUUAUGUUUCAUAUAAUCAAGAAAGAUUAGAUUUGACAUAAAAAUAUAUAACCAUAACCAGCCACAGAGGUGUCAUAACAAGUUUUAAUAGAAUUUUAGACAAAUACUAACAGAGUAAAAUUGAUAAUUUUAUAGUUUAAAGAACUAUAAAUAAAUUAUUUUAAUGGAGGAUGAAGUGAUAAAGUUUUACGCGUGGCCGAGUUUGAUGUUUGACUGGGGGAAAGUGAUAAAGGUUUGGGCCCUAGCAGAGCUCACAAUUUAAUUAAAAAAGAGAAAGGUUCAAUUUAUUUUAAAAUCUACUAAAACUAAAAAGUAAUUGUUUAUGUAGUAAAAAAUGGAUUAAAUUUUGUCUUCAAAUUGAUUUUGUUUUACAAACUCGAAAAAAGUUUCCAAGUUCCAGAUUUUCCUUCCUCCUCCGUUAAAAAAAUUUUAAAUUUUUAAUGAAAACGACAAAAAUUACCAACAGACAAAAAAAAUUGAAAUAAGAGCAUAAAAAAUAACUAGCAAUUGUCAAGCAAAAAUGUAAACCUCUUUUGAGUUUACAUACACAUAUCCAUCCAUGAUCAAGAAAUACUAAAUUCCAUCUUAAGAAAAAUAACUGAAGAUUAACUCCUAUAUUUUAAUAUUUAAAGUACUUUUUGCUUAAAUUUACAAAUGUUAAAUGUUAAAUUUCUUUUAAAUAGUAAUGAUGAUUUUUUUUGUUGUGUUUGGGGAAAAAAAUUACAGGACUUCAGAUGAGAACUCAAAAUAUAAAUAUAUUUAAUCAAAUAUACUAUUACUUAAAACUUAAUAUCUUUUUUAUAUUUAAAUAUAAAUUUUAGAAUACCAAAUUUUAUACACAACUUUUAAGUAACGUAAUUGGAUAAAAUCUUGAAAGAAAAACUUGGAAAUGAUUGAAUUUAUUUAAAACUUAGAGAUGAAAACAGACUUUGAGCUAAAGUUUUAAUGAAUAGUAAAAAUUUCUUUAAACGCAUAUUUUCGGGCAGUAAUGAAUUAAGUUGCCAAAAAUGAAUUGUAAUAUAAAAAAAAAUAGAUGUACUCAAAGUCCCCCGUUUUGGCAUAAUUGAUUAUACAUUUUUUUAUUACGGUCCUCGCUACCAUUGCCUAUUUGGUGGUGGUUAAUGUAAUUACAACGAAACCUAAUUUUAAAUAUUUUUCACGAGUACCAUUGCAGAGUUUGCCAUUGACCACCUCCCAGGAAUGGUGGUACAUUUUCUUUUCUUUAAACACUUUGUAAAAAAAAAUAAGCUCCAACUACUUUGAUCACUGAUUGAGAAAGUAAUGUCAGAUAGUGUGAACAUAAGUUUGAGAUGACUCUUAGUAAGUAAUAAUCCAUUUUUCUAACCUUUUUUAUUUUUUGAUAUUCGUUUUUUUUCUUGUAACCACACUUUGAUCAAAUUUGCUCAAAAGCCUAAAAUUUAAUAUAAUAUAUAUGUAUUUACUAAUAAAGUUUAAAAAAAAUCAGAGUCUCCAUCUAAAAAAGAAUGUUUUAACUCAAGUCACAUUAUAAGUAUAGAUUGACCAUAAUAUCCUCUUAAUCACAUAUUAAUUAUAUCAUAGCCUAUUUAUGUUAUGAAACGAUAUAUUUUUUCAUUUUUAGUUAAAUUCUUUUAGAUUAUUAUGAAAUAAUUAUCUAUAUAUAUAUAUAUACCAUACAUUACAAAACGAAAUAGUUUUUAUUUUUAGUUGGACUUUUUUUGGGGUCAUUAUUCAAAACCCACACUCACCUUUUAGGCCAUUUGUUAGAGUUUUAUAAAACAAAAAAAUAAAUAGAUAUAAAUGUAAGAUAAUAUAUAUUGUAGACUUAUACGAAAAGUUUAAAUUACCAACAAAUAUAAAUAUUAUACAGUAAUACAUUUUUAAAAAAAUAUUGCUUGUUUAAGAUUCUGCUGGGGGAAAGAACUGAGUGAUUCCAAACGCUCACAAGGUGAAUCAAGCAACAACAAAAGCCAAGAGAACUAGGCUGAGGGAGCCAAACCGACUUUCUAGAAGGGGAAGAGGUAGUUUCGAGGCAAAUAAAAAGCCAAGGGUGGAAUGUUAGGUGAGGACUAUUGGCUUAUAAAAAACCAGUGGUUUGGAGUCAACUUUUUCAUCCGGAUGUUUAUAUAAUCAAAAAAAAAAGUUUUUAAAUUCAGAAUUAGAUUUUAUAUAAUCAACAAAUGAAUUAUAUUUGACAUAAAAAAUAUAAAUUCAUGUACAAACAACAAACCUGGUCUCAUUCGAUCAAGUUUUUAAACGAAAUUUUUAAGGUAUACUAAUGGAAUAACUUUUAAUAUUUAAAAAAGUAUACAUAAAAUUUAUUUUUUCAGUUGAGUAAUAAAAAUAAAAAAUACUAAUAAUUUAAGGAAUACUUAUAUAAGUAAAUCAAUACAAAGCAGGGUAUCAAUUCUCAAUCCCUUCCGGAAUUUAGGUAAGAACUAUUGGUUCAUAAAAGUCGUUGAAUUCAUAAAGUCGUUGAACUAUUGGGUUAUCAUCUCAAGUCCAAAUUGCCGUUUUACUUAGUUUUUGUCAUUUUUAUUUAUUCAUCUAAAAAAUUUAUUUACCGACUAUUUUAACUAUUUAAAGUUAUCACUUUCCCAUAUAUUAUAUUCUAUCUAAGAUUCUAUUUAAACCUUGAUUAUAUGAACACUCAUGUGACUGGUUUCUCUAUAUUUUUCCAAUUUUAAAUAUGCCUUUUAAUUUUGGAAGAAAAAAAAAAAUCAUAUUCAUUGCCUCUCUGUUUGGGCUCUCUCUAUUUUUCUAUUUCCUUUUCUAACUUCUAUGUUUUUUUUUAUGUCAACUAAGGAUUUCUACAAAAAUUAUUAACAAGAUAAAAAAUAAAAUAAAAAUAAUAAAUAUAAAUAAAUAACAUUUUUAGAUUCAAAAAUAUGAUUUUUUAUAGUUAACGGAGGGUAAACAGAGUCAUUUUCAAACUAGGGCUAAAGUGAUAAAAGUUUUGAGUUUACGCGUAGGCCGAGGUUGUUGUUUGACUUGGGCAAGCGCUUAUUGUGCGCUGGGGGAACACUGCCACAUGCUUAGUGGGGCCCACCAGAAUGAAGAAAACCUGUUGACCUGUGUCAGUUACGGUGUUUUCGUGUGGAUUUAUUUUUUUACUUAUUUUUGAGGUGGAUUCCAAAAACAAUCGAAGUUAUAAUUUUAGUUUAUUGAUUUUUUUUAGUAAAAAAAUUACUUAAAUAGAGAUCUGUAAUCAGGUUCUUAUUGAAUGUUUACUAACUCAGUUUCACAGUCUGUGUAUUACAAUAAAUUAAUUUUUUUUGGAUUAAAACAAAAAAAUUUUUAAAAUAAAACAUCGAGUUUAUUUUACUUUUUUUAGUUAGAUUCUUUUUGGAUUAUUCAUGAAAUAAUUUAUUAUAUAUGUGUGUGUAUUACGCCUAUUUAUGUGUAAGAAAUGAUAUCAUUUUUCUGUUUAUUUUUUUUUAUUUCUUUCUUUUUUAGUAACAAAAAAAUUAAUCAAUUGGGAUCUCAAUCAAAGUCUCCAUCUGAAGGUUUAUCUCAAGUCCCAAUAUGGGUAUAUGGACUUAAUCAACCCUAUUAAUACUUAUUACUUAACAUAAUAUUAUGACUAUACGUAUCAUAUAAAAAUAUUUAUAUGUAAUAUUACGCAUAUAUUCUCUUUCCAUUUUAUUUUCUUUUUCCAUAUAUUCUUCUCAACGGUUUCUAUGCAAUGUUAGAUUAUUUGUAAACUUAAUUUGUAUUCUUUUUUUAUUUUUAAUAUUUAUUUAUUUUUUAUUAAAAAUUAUUAACUGAAACAACAAAAAUUUGAUAAAAACCCAACAAUAAUAAAGAAAAUUUUAUCCAAAAAAAACGAUAAAAAAAAUAUAUUACAAUUAAAAAAAGUACAUACAAAUAAUUAACAAGAAAAACUAAAAAAAAAAAAAACAUCGCAGGGGUGUGGGGUGGGGGGCUGGGGUCGGGGCAUAAUGGGGCAUUUUUGCUCUUAGCAACAGGGGAGGUCAUGCCAUUUUUAAACUACGAGAGAGGUCAGUGCAAUUAACAAACCUCAGGGGGUGUGAAGUGACGGAGUUGUCCCCUUUCUUUAUAUUAUCUUUUGUUUUUAGUGUCUCAAGUUAAAGACGGAACAAGCGCCGGAUGCUUAAGAAGAUGGAGAAACUCAACGCAUAUAAUGAUUUUUGAUUUGAAAUAAUGAAAGACACACUAUUUCAGUGAUACACUAACCCUCAUUUAAAUUUCCACCAUUGCUAGGAACGCUGUCCUCCAAUAUUUUGGCUUGAUAGUGACAACUUCGUUGACUAAUCUUAUUUUUUUUCACACUAACUAGCUUCGGAUUUUAGGAUCUUUGGACCCAUUAUUUUUUGUCGUUUUUGCCCCUUUUUUGAUUUGGAAACUAUGGUCAGCUCAAAUUUAUGGGAUCAAAAUGGAUUGAAUGAAAAUUACAUCAAUUCAAAUGUUCAUUCCCAGCACCAAGGAGGAGAGAGAAAUUGUAAAUACAACCUUAGGGUUAUGACCUUUAUAAACGAAUUAAGAUCGUGGGAACUUUAAGUUUAUCAAUUAACCCUGUAGCUUUAGAGUUGUCAAUUUUUUUUUCUACCUUCCUCCACCUCUGGUUUUGCCCGUUUUAGAUCCUUAUAUUCCACCUCUAUUUAUAAUAAAAAGCACUGACUCUGGCUCGGAAGACUUUGAAAAAAUUAUUUUAUCAGUGGUAACCGCUCUGAAAUAGUGACAAGGCAAACGGCUCAGAUUGAGACUAUUUUAGAAGUUUAAAGUUUAAUGGUAAAGACAAGAAUUACAUAUUUUUUUUAGUAUAAUACGUCAAACGCAUUGGCUUUUUUUUAAAUGUAAUAUCCUCCUAAUUUUUCCAAUGACCAAACCCAUAGGAGAAAAAGAGAAAAAAGCUUAUAAUAAAUCAAUAGAAGUUGAAGGUUCUUGCCUUUUGGACCGAAGGUCCACGACAAAAUUCAAGAAUCUAAGCUGAUGAUAACUAUGGCUUCCAUUUGGUAUGUUAAAACCAAUUUUUUUAAGAUGUUUAUAAAACCACUUUAAUUUUUUUUUGGCUUUUUUUAAUUUUUUUACUUUUAUUUUAGUUAAAAAUAAUAAAAAAAUAAAAAAGUCAACCCUACUACUGAUUUUUUUAACUAGCUUAAACAUAUCGAUUUAUAUUUUCAAAUAAUUCAAAUAUAAAUUGAUAUUUUUUGUAGUAAAAAAAAUAUUUCAAAAAUGACACUAGGUGCCUCGUUUGUAAUUGUGAUAGAAUUGGUAGAAUUAGUAAUGAGGUGGGAUUCUGAUUGGGAUUGAUAUAGAGAUGGGAUGAGUAUCUGGCAAUAGUCCGACGAGGGUAUUUGGUUUGCACGAGAUUGAUAGUAGGAUUAGAAAUAUCAAGGGUAAUUGUGUCCAAUACUGUCGCAAAAAAAUAUGAAAUUUUUUCAUGAAAUUCAUACUUACCCUUUUUUUUAUAUAAAUAUUACAAAUAUCAAGGGUAAAAUGUCAAGUUUGAGGCCUAGGAGCAGGGGGAUUGCUAAUCCCCCCAGGGGAUUAGCAACCCCCCCAAAUGGGGGAUUCGUAGUCCGUGUGGCUAUUGUCCGGCCGUCGCUGAAACCAAACACGGAUUAGGGGCCCCACAGGACUAAUGUCCCAUCCCCCCUCCAUGCCCGGUUCCAAACAUGGCCUAUAAUCCUUGUUUUGUUAAUCCAAUGGAUUUUUCUAUUUAGAUUUUUUAUUAGUGUCCUUUUCUAAUAAAAUCCUCCACUAAAGACAAAAUUAAUUCAUCUAAAGGUACAAAUUUUCCAACUUAUGGUACGAAUGAUACUCCAUAAAUUAUAGAAUGAAUUACUCUAUAUUUAUAUGAAAAAGUGGCUCGCACCUAUUCUCUUGGUAUGUGACGCAACUCUCAGGUAAGCAUAGAGUAAUUUGUUCAAUAAUUUAUAAAAUAUAACCUAUUUUAUUGUUAUCCAAAGAAGACCUUAGUAUUUUGAUGAGGAAUUAGUGGUAGCAUUUUGGCUUAAUUUCUUAGAACCCCUAAAUUAAUGGCAUUUUAUAAAAUCACUUUUUAUUGCUCUUCACCUAAAAAAUAAAUCAUGUUGACAUCCUUAACUAUUUCAGUAUUUUUUACCCUCUUUUUCGUUACAAUCGUGUAAAACAGUGACAAAAUCAAUCAAUUGUUGUCAAAUACCCUUAAUCCAUACGCCUUUAUUUUCUUAAAAAUACUUUUAAUGCUCUAUACAUAUAUUUAGUACUAGAGUGAUGUUACUUAUACAAUAAUGAACAUAGCACUUAUAUCUAGUGUUGAUUUAUUUUUCACAAAAAAUCUGAUAUUUCUGUAGAAUAAUGAUUGGUACCCACCUCCAAAGUGGGUGUGUACAAGAACACACCCAUUCCCUCUCACAAUACGUAGGACCCCCCGCCUAGGAGGGUUUUUAGAAAAACAUAAAAACGCCUAAUUAGGGCAGGUCCCACUUAUUUUGUAGAAGGCAAAAUGGGUGUCUCUUGUAUCACACUCACUUUUGGUGUGUACCUAUCACUACUCUUUCUGAUUAACCAUAUUGAAUUGAAGCACUUGAAUAACAUAUAAUCGAUUUUUAUUAUUUUAUACACAAUUACUAACCACAAAAAAUUAAAACGAUACAACAAUCAAUGUAAUCCAAAUCUUUUUCACGAGUCCUUGUUAU